GAGCUCCUCUCCACCAGGGUUUCCUAAGCGGGCCUACGGUAUGGGAGCUUUAAAUCAUGCAGCACAACAAACUCAAUGAGGUCACUGCAGGCUUUGCUUU